UGUGGAAGUGAGCAGAUUUUCCAAGCAAUUAGUGGCUGGAAAAGCGCAUGCCAAAGGGACAACAAGGUCCAACGACUGGGUUAACUGGGCGACACAUAAGAAGCCAGCAUUUACAUAUGCUAAAUGUGCACAAGUGUGUGUGUGUGUGCAUGUACAGUCUGUGCGAAAAGUGGGCAAACAACUUGGCCUUGGAACAAAGACGAGAAAUUAAAGUAGCAUUGGUUAUAUUUGGUUUGUAAAUUCAUUUAUGUUAAAAUAUGUCAAAUUUUAUGUAUGCUCAUUACAAAAUAUUAUUAUGUGUUUUUCCAAAUAGAUAAUCCUUAACCUAAUUAACCUUCGAAUAUUAAGCCUCACUAUAUUUAGUAUUUCAGAAACAUGAGUUAGGAGCAUAGCUGCGGGAUCUGUACAUAAAGAUGCCAGAGCUUUGUGGCCACAGACAAAAAUCCGCAAUUCUGAUUGCAAGCGGAAGCUAAUGUUUAUCAAACUAUCAAACAUCAAACAUCUCCCGAAAAUAUUAGACUAAGCCUUAUAAAUCAUGAGCGUUUAAAAAAUAUAUAUGUAUUUAUAUACAAUAAAAUUGAUUCCAUUUAAAAAAAAUUCUAAUCGCUGUACUUUUUUACUUUUCGGAAAUCAGAAUGAUAUAGAUUCUAAUUUGAAUAUAGUAAGAAUAUGCAAGAUAAAAAAAUAUAUAAAUUUUGUUGCAUACUUUCUAAGGAGGACUGCCGCGGCUGCAAUUUAGACGAAAAUCUGGCUGAAAUACCAGGCGUAAAGAAAUGACUAACAGGGAGAAAAAUGUAAAUCAAGAUCCCACUGUUAACUAACAGAGUGGAACAUAUUUUCGCUGUAAAUUAGCAGAGCAUGCUGAUAAGGCCAAGAAGGAGAUCUACGUGCAAAUCUGGCUGAAGUACCAGGCGAGGAGAAUUAGCAGCAUGCAAAAUGUUAAAUAACAGAGUGGAACGUAAAUUCGCUGCUAAUGAGAAGAGAAUUUUGGUUGAGUGAUUUUAAUUAUGAAACUCAAGAGCAUCUUCAGCUGCUAGACUGCAGUACCUGCUUUAACAUAGCUGUUAGUUCAACUGCGGGUCUUUCUGUUAAUUUCCUGUGCUUAUGUACAUACACUGGAUGUUGAACUCAAAAUAUAACCACAUUGAGAGCAGCGGCAGGUGACUGGAGGCUAUUAAAUCAAAGAGCAAUCAUAUAUUUUGAACUAUAUUACAUAUUAUGGUCCUGAAAUCCUAUAAUCAAGCAUAAUCAAGCAUAUGUGGGUCAACUGGGAACGAUUACAGCUUGCAUUCAUACAAUGAUUGCACAUUGGCAAAGGCUUAAAUUAUUUAUAAACAAAAUUGCAAAUUAAUAGUAACUAGCAUUAAAUGAGAGAUAGAACAUAUAGUUUAUAUAUUUAUAUUUGGGACCGGUUUGCCGUCCAUGUUCAUGUGGCAUUUCUAAAAAUAAAUAAAUCAAACUAUAAAAUAUUUAAACAAA